UACGUAGGGGGCUAGCGUUGUCCGGAAUCAUUGGGCGUAAAGCGCGUGUAGGCGGUCCGGUAAGUCCGCUGUGAAAGUCGAGGGCUCAACCCUCGAAUGCCGGUGGAUACUGUCGGGCUAGAGUACGGAAGAGGCGAGUGGAAUUCCUGGUGUAGCGGUGAAAUGCGCAGAUAUCAGGAGGAACACCAAUUGCGAAGGCAGCUCGCUGGGACGUAACUGACGCUGAGACGCGAAAGCGUGGGGAGCGAACAGG
rnacentral:rRNA from 1 species